GACGUAGGGCGCGAGCGUUGUCCGGAUUUAUUGGGCGUAAAGAGCUCGUAGGCGGCGCGGUAAGUCGGGUGUGAAAUCUCGGAGCUUAACUCCGAAACUGCAUUCGAUACUGCCGUGCUUGAGGACUGGAGAGGAGACUGGAAUUUACGGUGUAGCGGUGAAAUGCGUAGAUAUCAGGAGGAACACCGAUGGCGAAGGCGGCAUCCUGGACCGGUAUUGACGCUGAGGCGCGAAAGCCAGGGGAGCAAACGGG
rnacentral:rRNA from 1 species